UCUCUCUUGCCCCCUUCUUCUUCAUCUCUUUGUUUUCCCUUGAUCAAAUGGAUGACUUGUGUCCGUCUUGUUCAUGAUGUAUGGAUUGGUACUUGAUGAACUUUUGUCAUAUCAAAUCUACCUCCUAAUUUAUCAUGGAUCAUCUAAGGUACUUUGAAUUGAUGCAUAAGUUUGUCCUAAGCACCAUGAAGUAUGAAUUGAAGUAAUGGACCAUCCUCAUAGCCUUUGUGCUCGAUCAUUUCUUUUUUAUUUUCUUU
rnacentral:lncRNA from 1 species